rnacentral:rRNA from 1 species
GACGAACGCUGGCGGCGUGCUUAACACAUGCAAGUCGAACGGGAACCUUUAUUUCGGUAAAGGUGAGAGUGGCAAACGGGUGAGUAACACGUAGGCAACCUGCCGACAGGAUGGGGACAACAUUCCGAAAGGAAUGCUAAUACCGAAUGGAGUCCGAGGAUGGCAUCAUCCUUGGAUCAAAGAUGGCCUCUGAAUAUGCUAUCGCCUGUCGAUGGGCCUGCGUCUGAUUAGCCAGUUGGCGGGGUAACGGCCCACCAAAGCGACGAUCAGUAGCCGGUCUGAGAGGAUGAACGGCCACAUUGGGACUGAGACACGGCCCAGACUCCUACGGGAGGCAGCAGUGGGGAAUCUUCCACAAUGGGCGAAAGCCUGAUGGAGCAACGCCGCGUGAGUGAAGAAGGUCUUCGGAUCGUAAAGCUCUGUUGCACGGGACGAAAACUGGGUUUGAGAACAUUGAACCCGGGGACGUACCGAGCGAGGAGCCACG